rnacentral:misc_RNA from 1 species
GAGAAAUUACAGCAUUCCAGAAGUCGACAAGCUGAAGGCGAAGUUCAUUGCUGGGCGUAUCAUCCCUGCUGUUGCAACUGCCACGGCGCUGGCCACUGGUCUCGUCUGCCUUGAACUUUACAAGGUCCUUGCUGGUGGUCACAAGGUAGAGGACUAUCGGAACUCGUUUGCAAACCUUGCUCUGCCACUGUUUUCCAUGGCAGAGCCUGUGCCACCUAAGUUGGUGAAGCACCGGGACAUGAAGUGGACGGGCUGGGACCGAUGGAUUGUAGAAGGAGACCUUACCCUGAGGGAGCUCUUGCAGUGGCUGAGGGACAGAGGCCUCGUUGCCUAUAGCAUCUCGUGUGGCAGCUCUUUACUUUUCAAUAGCAUUUUUGUUUCCAAGCACAGGGACCGGAUGGACAGGAGGGUGGUUGACUUGGCAAGGGAUGUGGCGAAGUUGGAGAUACCCGAAUACAGGCGCCAUGUGGAUGUAGUGGUGGCCUGUGAGGAUGAUGAGGGUAACGACGUUGAUAUACCCCUCGUGUCCAUUUACUUUCGUUAGAUGAUCAUGAGUGUGAUGUAACUCUUAAGCAAAAGACCUUCCACAUUUGCCACUCUCUCUCUUUGUGCCUGAUUGAGGUUCUUGAUAU